rnacentral:rRNA from 1 species
UACGGAGGAUGCGAGCGUUAUCCGGAUUUAUUGGGUUUAAAGGGUGCGUAGGCUGUGAGGUAAGUCAGCGGUGAAAUGCCCCCGCUCAACGGGGUGAAGUGCCAUUGAUACUGCCUUGCUGGAAUGCGGAUGCCGUGGGAGGAAUGUGUGGUGUAGCGGUGGAAUGCAUAGAUAUCAUACAGAACACCGAUUGCGAAGGCAGCUUACCAAACUAUAUCUGACGUUGAGGCACGAAAGCGUGGGUAGCAAACAGG